rnacentral:rRNA from 1 species
GACGAACGCUGGCGGCGUGCUUAACACAUGCAAGUCGAACGAAGUGGCGAACGGGUGAGUAACGCGUAAUCAACCUUCCCUUCAGAGGGGGACAACAGUUGGAAACGACUGCUAAUACCGCAUACUGACGUAGGGGAUUGCGUCUGAUGAGCUAGUUGGAGGGGUAACGGCCCACCAAGGAGAAGAUCAGUAGCCGGUCUUAGGGGAUGAACGGCCACAUUGGGACUGAGACACGGCCCAGACUCCUACGGGAGGAAGCAGUGGGGAAUCGUCCGCAAUGGACGAAAGUCUGACGGAGCAACGCAGCGGGAGUGAUGACGGCUUUCGGGUUGUAAAGAUCUGUUAAUCGGGACGCGGUACCGGAAUAGAAAGCCACGGCUAACUACGUGCCAGCAGCCGCGGUAAUUC